UUUAUUAGUGCUGAUAAACAGUGCAGAAUAUUCAAAUUCAUUAAUCUAAAUUAAAUUAUUAUUAAUUAAUUUUACAUGUCUGUUAAUGUACAUUGCUGCUAAACCAUUAUUAAAAUGCAUAACUCUUUUCCUCAUAAUUCAGACCAUCCAUUUUCAUCGACUUACCCUUGAUAAUGUUAACGUAAAGACACUUCACGAGGAGCUUCAGAUCGUGUAAAGUCCAGUGCUUCUUUACCUGCUGUUAUUCCGGUGGAAAAAAUGCUAUUUCGUUGCUUAAAAUGAUGAUUUCUGGUCUUUUCCAGAGGUUAUCAUUGCAUUUCUCAGGCAAAAGGCGUGGCUUCAUCAAAUAAGUCCAAUCGCAAACUAGGUAGGAGUUUCUCAGCUGUGCAGCAAAGGUACAUCUGCCUUUGAUUGACGUGUCAUCCACCAAUAAAAAUCCAGCGUGCCACUUCAUCAUAGUCCAGUUUGUGAGGGCGGGCUGAGACGCUUUGUCAGCAGUGAUGUCUCGCUAUGUGCGGCGUGGCCCCAGGAGAGUAAAUGGUUGCUCACAUAAAAAUACACAUUCAGAAUCUGAGCGACAAAGUUUUUAGUUUUAUGUUUAAAUGAAAAACAAUGACACUGCAGAGUGUUACACAUGAGCGGUUUGUUUUGUUGCAUAUGCAAUUGGUCUUUUAUUUUGAAAAAUCGUUUGGGAAGGAAGAGGUUUUAGUGAAACCCAGCUGAAGGGCUCAGGUGGGUAAACCACAUGCUGAAUAGAGCUUUUUACAUGUCAUUUUGCAGGUGAGUAGAAGUGUACAGUCGCGCUUUGUUGUAUCUGUGUGAGCUUUCAUUUUGCACAUGUAGCCAGUCUUGAGCAGCUAGCAACAGUUGGCUAACAUUAGUCUAAGUGAGUCUCAUCAUACAUGGCAGGCAUCUCUCAUAAUACGUAUUUGACAUAUUAUGUAUUUGAAAUAAAGAAAGAUGGGCAACCUGCCUGAUGGAGUCAGACCUCGCAGUCCUGUUUGGACACACACACACACACACACACACACACACACACACACACACACACACACACACACACACACACAGUUUAAAGAAGCUUUAUUAAAAAACAAACAAAAAGAUAUAACAUUGCAGCACAGGUGAACACCUCCACCCUCCCUGUGAGCUCAGGUGGAGGUGUGAGUGAAGUUAAAGGUUCCUCUGAGAGUGUUAAGGAAUAUACUCUAAAACACUUCUUCAGCAAAGACUCAGAGAAGAGAAACACACAGAACUUCUUGCUAGUAAGGGCGGCCUCCAGCACUGAGGCUUGCGCUGAGAAACUGCCCCGGUCUUUAUUUAUACUUCAGUGUGUGUGUGUGUGUGUGUGUGUGUGUGUGUGUGUGUGUGUGUGUGUGUGUGUGUGUGUGUGUGUGUGUGUGUGUGUGUGUGUGUGUGGUCAGAGUGUGACCCCAUAAAAUCUUCCCUAAACCUGCUGGUCUCAAAGUCCAACAGUUCAUCAAACCAAAAGGCACUUAGACUAGAACUGACAUAGCUACGUUAAUCCUACCGUAAAACAAUAAGACAAGGUACGACCUCUCCCAUGCUCCCAGGAUGUGGGGUGGAGCCAGAACACCCUGGAAUGUUACAGACCUCCUAGGAUGAGACAUUCUUUCAAUAUGCCACCAACUAAUACUUCUACACACAAAUGAUUACAUGCAGCAUUCUACCAUAUGCAAACUUAUAUCACUAAAAGAUUAUACUGACUACUAAGUACAAUUUUCCAUUGACAGAGAGCAUCACACUGAGCAGAUCCAGCUGACCUCUGUGGAUCAGAUGUUACACACGGCUUUGUGCUGAUCUGAGGCCAGUCUGCAGGCACAGCCAGGAGCUGAGCUCUGAUUGGUCCUCUCUGACAGUGGGAUGAUGAUGAUGCUCAGUGUGAAGAGCACAGAGGGUCGUAUGAACAUACAUGAUGCUGAGCCACUAACAUGCAGACACAGGUAAAAGUAAAACAGCUAAUGGGUCAUGUGACCAACAUAGAGUCUGCAGACAGACAGAAGAAGAAGAAACUGAGAGGACAACGCUCCAUCGUUAGUUCAUACAUGAGAGACAGCUUCAGCUGUUACACUGAGCUUCCUGUUUCACAUCCAUGGAGAAGGACGAGCUGACGGCAGCCUCCUCUUCAUCAUCUCCAGCUUCAUCACAUCAGACUGGCUGACUGUUCAGUGGAUGAGAUUCUGCAACGUUCUUCUUUCUGUGGACAGACAGACACAGACUGAGCUCUGGACUCCCAGUCCAAACUGCACCUGCAGGUCCUCUGGUGUCCAGCAGAGGCAGCAGUGAGUCAGUUCCUAUCUGGUCGUUAAGUCUGACGUCAUGAGCUGCUUCAGCUUUCAAAGGAACACUGUGGCAUCACUGCGAGUUACAAACUGUCUAAACUCUUUCUUUUCAAACUAAAGCAUCACAAGGUCCACGUCUAGCUGUCUGUAAUGGAGGCGGAGCAAACUGGAUCCGCACUCCAUGCCUAGUGAACGCUCACGACGCAGUUUGUCGGGGACGCCUACCUCGGCACAACACCUGGUUUGGCAGCACAUAGCGAGGCUCCAGAUGCUGCGAACUCCAGACCACCGACAGGUCUCGCACACAACAGCCGCUCCAUCACGUGACCCACACUGCUCCGACAUGCAAAGGUCACUAUAUUUAAUGGAUCCUGUUACGUUUUUUCCCCCAAUAUGUGAUCCAGUGAUUUAGGUCAGGAUUGGACCGAUACUGAUACGUAGCACCGGCUCGGUCCCUCCCUACUUUAUGUAUAUGUGUUUAGAGAAGCUAGUGUAAGGUUCAGCAUGAAGAGGCCACCUGUAGCCACGGGAAGCCGGCGGUAAGGUGUGUCCAUGGUGUGAUGUGUGCGGCACAGUCAUGCUGCAGUCUGUAGGACGUCCUGCUUUAAGUCAGCCGCCAUCGUUGCAGUGCCCAGAAGAACACAGGGAGCUGCUUGAAUCGUCCAGUUGCUCUAACACCAUAAUCACCACAUGUUUUGAGCCUCAUACUGGCAGACUUAGAUCAUGUCACACAAACGCCAACGUAAUCC
ensembl:lncRNA